AAAAAAUCCCAGUGACUCAGCACAGUGAGCGAGGAGCACAAUAGGGUGGUUACCCAGACAGGACGUCCAUCUAGGAGCCCUGCGGGAGGCAUGCAGGUAUUUCUCUGGAGGUCAUGCCUGGCAGGCGUCCACUGUUAGAGCCAGAGGACCCGGAGCAUUAUCUGAAUGAACUAAUGACCAACAGGCGGGCAGAAAUGAGUGCUGCGGAUUGAUAACAGGGACAGCCAGACCCCCUCCCAUCCCCACGAGGCAGAGGCACCAGGCCACCUGGCUUUCCCACACAUCAACCUCGUGCUCACACCCCACUCUGGAGACCACCAGCUUCGAGGCAAAAAGAGAGAACGACGUACAAUGGGCAUCUUCCCUCAUCCACCCCAUUUCAAAGAGGGUUCUGCUUGCAGGAACUCAAAGCUCAGAGCUUUUAGCUUCCCAAAGCCCUAUUUCCAAACUAAAGCAAAGGUCCUUUAGAAUUUGCACGGCGGGCUGUGCAAAAUGAGAGAGAAGGAAAUCGCUGGCAGAAAUAUCCCCGAAGAAGGGAUUUCUCCCCCAAAGACCAGAAAGCAAUUCUUCUAGGUUAGGGGAAUGAGGAGACAUACAGAGAAAACAAGAGGCUUGGGAGUUCCUCAUGAAAGGACUGGACCUGGAGUGGCCAUGCAGGAGAGGUGCAAGGGACUUGGAGCCCCUGAAGCUUCAGGAGAGCUGCGUGGCCCAUGUCCUGCUGCACCGGCAGCCAUCACGCCCAUGAGCCCUGCCUGUGUCCAGAAACAGUGCUGCUGUCCUUGACCUCGUCACUCUGCAAGGACUUCGCUUCCCCAGCAGGCAGUUCACCUCUGGAUACCCCUCCCUGAUGCAAACUUUGCUCAUGUCAUGUCUAUCAAGAUCAAGAAAAUGGAGCCCAUAACUGAGAUCAGCACAUGGGUAAGGAAACUGCUGAAUGGAAGGAGCUCCAAGACCUGGAACUGAGACCGAAGCUGGCAACAUGGCGGGAUGUUGCACCCCCCACACACACGCUCACACGUGGUUUUCAUUCCUUCUUUCAUAUUACGGCGGGCGUGGAAUUACCAGUCAAUUUGACAUUUAUAAAUACAUUAACUAGCGCUUCCAAUUCUUCUCCUGCUUCCAAGUUUGUUCUCACCACCUCACAGAAAAUGCUGGGGACAGAAUUAAAUGCAGAGUAAUCUAAACAAGCUUUGAUAUGUCAUAUGUCUUUCCUACUGAAUAAGCUAAACCAACCAGGGUAAUUUAGUGAUACUUGGGCAAGAAAACUAGGAAUUACGCACACUUUCCUUUUCCAAAUUCCCCACAUGGAAGUCUGUGAAUUCUACUGCAAUUACAGUGGUAUAAUAAAAAAGAUAUGCUUGGCU
rnacentral:lncRNA from 1 species